AAGUCGGUUGUGAAAGCCUUCCGCUCAACGGAAGAACGGCAUCCGAUGCUGCAUGGCUUGAGUGUGGGAGGGGAGAGUGGAACUUCUGGUGGAGCGGUGAAAUGCGUAGAUAUCAGAAGGAACACCGGCGGCGAAGGCGACUCUCUGGUCCAUAACUGACGCUGAGUGUGCGAAAGCUAGGGGAGCAAACGGGAUUAGAUACCCCGGUAGUCCUAGCCGUAAACGAU
rnacentral:rRNA from 1 species